rnacentral:lncRNA from 1 species
CGGCCGCCCGCCCCGCUGCUGCUCCUCCGGGCGCGCGCGGCGCCGCCGGGGGCGGACCCCAGCCGCUGGCCUCGCGGUCCCUUGGCCGGACUGUCCGAAGCCUGCAGGCUCCCAACCCGGACCUCCUCUUUUUGUUUUGAGACAGGGUCUCUCUGUGUAGACCAGGCUGGCCUUCUGCCCGGAUACCACAUGGAGAGCCGCUUUGUAGGAAGUGCCCUCGCUCCACAGGACAGAUCCGAGGAGACUUCUCAGGACGCCAGGUGAAGGAAGAAAUUUACGGAAAGGAAGAAAUGGCGGCCACAUUCACACUGUUAAGCUGAAGGAAAGAUACUAACUCAGUAUCUCAGUCUGCCUUGAGCUCCCGCGUGGCUCACAGUUCAAGAACAUAAAGGCAAAAUUCUAAAAUUCUAUGCUGCCUUUGACCACUUGCUACCUUACCUUACCUUCGUGUUUCACCUUGACUCCUGGCUGCUCCGAGAAUGGGGAGGUUGGCCUUUUCCUCUGAGACUGUCCUCAAAAACUGUCUCCUAACUACCAAUGCCCAGAGCUUCCUAUAUCAUAGGCUUUAAGCCUUGUUUAAAUGUCUCAUUUCUUAAGUGAGAGCUUCCAUAAAGAGCGUCUUUGGGACUGCAGUCUCCCCUCAGUCCCCGAACACUACUCCUAGUUUUCUCCAGGACACUCACCACCAUUUAAUGCUUUAGUAUUUCAUUUUAAUUCUCUUUGGUUUUUGUUUGUUUUGAGAGGGUCUCUAUGGAAGAGUAAGCUGGCCUCAAUCAAACUCAUAGAACUCCUCCUGCUUCUGCCUCCUGACUGCUGGGAUGAAAGGCUUAUCACACUAUGCCUGGCUCUCUUGAUUUUCUUAACUCUUCUCUUUUCCCCCAAUAAAGAAUAAACUCUGUUACACACCCCAUUCCACCAGGAGAAGUUGGACUGAUUCCUACAAGUGCAACAUGGGUCACGUGUCCAGAGCCAGCACUCCAGUGACUUCUCAAGGGACUGGAAAGGAAACCCCAAUUCCAAGCCAUUCAACGACUUAGUUUUUGCGAGCUUCUGACCACAUCGUGCAUAACCGUAGGCCUCCCUAGGCUCCAGUGCUACCAGCCCCCUUCCCUUCCCCGUGCACACCAGGCAUACCUACUUAG